AACUGAAGGUUUAAUGUGCAUUACAUUAGCGUAUAAAUGAACAGUAACCGAGUAGGGUCGACCCCUGAUAAAAAAUUGGAUCGAUUAAACUAAAAAUGGGUUCAAAUGGGGAAAUUCGGGUGUGGUAUUGUAAUAGUUGGUGGUCGAUGAGUCCUCAUAUUUCUUAUGGACUCCUGUGUGGAGGAACCCUAUCGUUUGAUUGCACAGUCAACCAUACAUUAUGGUCCAUCCAUGCCUUCCCAUGUGCAUUGCAGAUAUCGAUCAAUGCCUCAAUUCUUGGACUUAGUCUUCUACUUCCGUCGGUUGAUGUCCUUGGCUGAUACUUUUACCUUCUUCUUGGUUUCUCCUUGGCGCCUCCUAAACUCUU